rnacentral:lncRNA from 1 species
CACUUCCAGAGCAAGCAGGCCUGCACAGUUCUCACCCCAGGGCCUCCCAGGAGGCACGUUCUACACUAGUUAGCCAGACAUGCAGCACUUUAAUAGUAGAGAGUAACGCCGCUCCCUUCUGCCUCACCAUUCGGAAUGUUUUUGUUGCUAUUUUUGCAUUUAUCUUCCGAGUUUUUUUUUCUCCUUUCAAUACUCUGCAUUGAUUUAUGGACUGAAGGCUUGGUUGUAUCACCAACCACUCAGAGCUGUGCUGGAACUGCCAGCUUAGUGAGCCUGCCAUCCACCAGGAUCCUGAUGAGUGGAGUUUGGGUCCAUUCUGAUGUGGAAAGAAGAUUAGAAAAUUAGGAAAAUCCAGGACUCCGGACUGAUAUUCAGGAAGACACUGGGUUCGCCACUCCAGGGACGAGUCUAGAAUUGCCAUCUUGGUUUUGCUACAUCUCAAGCCUUUCCUCUACCUUUCAAAACCGGGACAUAUUCGGAGGGUCACAACGCAGUGUCAUCUCUAAGAUAAUUUUCUGAGACAUAGGAAGAUCCGUGUUUAGCAGGCAUUCAUCUGCUUCGAGUCAGAAAGACAGAUCUCGGCUUCAUGUCCUGCAUGCUCCCUCAGCUGGAGAGACAAGGAGGCCCGCCCGAAGGCAGCUCCACUCAAGAAGAACCCUUCCUCAGACCCCUAAUUUGAGGUGUUUUCCUACCAUAACGACCUCCCUGCAAUCACAACGCUUCAAAUACUGGUGAGGUACCCACAUCAGAUCCUCUGUGAUGGCACACACGCCUUGCCCAGGUCCUGCGGGCAGAAGCGUCGGGGCUGCUGGGCACGAGGAGGGCACAGCGCUGGGCUGCUGGGAGCUGUGAGUACAGACACUUCCUCCACCCUCAGCGAUGCCCAUGUCUGCUGCGCCUUGCAAGUACUUCCUCCACCCUCAGCGAUGCCCACGUCUGCUGCGCCUUGCAAGUACUUCCUCCAUCCUCAGCGAUGCCCACGUCUGCUGCGCCUUGCAAGUACUUCCUCCACCCUCAGCGAUGCCCACGUCUGCUGCGCCUUCCAAGUACUUCCUCCACCCUCAGUGAUGCCCACGUCUGCUGGGCCUUGCAGGGUCUGUGUGGUCGCUUCUUUGUUCUUCUGGGUGCUAAUUACUGGGGAGCUGGUUUUGGUGCAUUA